UGGUGGUCACUGGUCGCCGGUUUUGAAUAGAAGCAACGAAGAGAGAGACGAGAUGAAAUGAAGAACUGCUCUUUUUUUUUUUUUUUGAAAUAAAAUGAAGUAGUUGGGGUCGUGGGGGAAGUGGGUUGGAAGGAGUUUUUGUAUAAUGUGUGUGGAUUGGAAGAAGUUUUUGUAUAAUGUGUAUGAACUUUUGUGUAUUUUGUAAAAGAUUAUAAGUUUUAAAAAUUAUAAUUCGGUCCCAAUUUAAGUUAAUUACAUUUUUAAGACAAGUUUGACCAUGACUGGUCAAACUUGUCACCAUUUCUAAUUAUAAGACUUUUUUGUCACCACAAGUUAAAUCUUCCUAGUUUCUCUUCCCAUAGGACAACAUUCUAUAUAAAUCUAUAAAGCUGGGAAUAGCACAGGCUGAGUUGGCACAUCUCUAAGGCCUGAAACCCUAUUUUUUUUUUUUUCAAUUUACCUUAAUUAUUCCCAUUUUAUUUUACUUAAUAUAUAAAAAAGCCUAAAGUCACACUAAUUAAAGCCAACACACACCGUUUCCAUUCCUGUAUUCCCUCAAAUGGAAAACCCAAUGUCCUCAUUAAGCCCGCGUUUCUAAAAGAAGGGAGAAGAAGAAACCAAUGGUUGUUGAGAACCCCCGCUUUCAAUGAUUUCCAUUCUCUCUCGGUCGAAGCCCCUGACAAGAAUUUUCUGUCCACUGUUAUACUCCACUGGUUGCGCCAACCGCCAGAACUACAGCAAAGUACUGCCAAAAUUUUAACACCUGUGAUUAAUUUAGAUUCAAUUAGUGGAUCUUCAAGUUGGCAGAAUGACUUUGAAAAGUGGUGAAUUUUCAGGGAUAAUUGCAGGUAUUAUUGGUAUUUUUGGAAUUUCGCUGCAAGUUUUAACUCUUGAAGGUUGGGUUUUACUUUCUCUGUCUGAUUGUUAUAUUAUUAGCUUCUAAAUUACGUGCAUAUGUUGCCGGGCAAGGUUCUGCAAAUAAUUUCCUCUUUUGUUUUUUGGUUAUUUUUCUCCUUCUUUUUGCUCUUUUUCUCUUUGCAUGUUCUCAGUUUAUAUUUUUGUAUUGUUGGAAAGCUCUUAUUUCUUUUUCUUGGCAGAAGGUUGAAAUAAAAAUGUACCGAAAUUUUAUUUGAACUUACAAUUGGAUCUGUACGAGGAACCAGUAUAUGAUUUAGGAGUUAGAGUUCAUACUCCCAAGAAAAAUAGGUAGUUUAUUACACAACUUAAGGCUUUUAGUUUCUCAAGAAGAGAAUGUGCAGUCUUGAAUAAAAUGUCCAUGAAAAGUUAAAAAAAAAGGUCUUCUGAUUUUUUCUUUGAUUAAUGAAGAUUUUUUGCAUACUAAUCUCAAUAAAUACAGUAUAGUAUGAGAAAAUAAAAGGAGUUGUUACAAUGAUCCACAUAAAUACAUAGAUGAAUGUGGUCCUCUGUAGUUUGUACUUUAGCCUCUAUAUGCACACUUAUGUGGCUCACUAAUAAAUUAUGAGUUCACUUUUUUUUUUUUUUUUUUUUAAUUUCAAGUUUAGGUAUUUCUUUAGAUUUGGUAGUAUGAUGUGAUGCUCCUUUCGCAAAAUAUCCUCCAAUGAAGGUACAUCAAUUAGGAUAGCUACAGCUACAUUUUGUUUCUUGUGGACCCACUUUAAUCAUAUUUGCAUUACAUAGUUUAUACUUCUCAGCUGUUGCUAAUGAUAAUGCAAAAUGCAACCCCCUACCUUGAUUAUGAGAGAUUAUGAGAGGAACAAAGCAUUGUCUAAGGCACUUUUUGAAAUACUUGACUCUUGAUUGGUAAUGUUGUUGACGUUAGUGUUUCCAUUACUCUACCACCUUGCUUUAUCUUGAAAGAACACUUUAGUUCUGUUACUUGUGGAAGUCCUAACAUUUAACGGGGAGUUUAAUUAGUAUUUAGCUGUUAUUCGAUGGUUCAUCUAAUAGAAACAUUUUGCAUUUGGUUAUGUGUUGCUUUCUGAUGCUUUGGUGAAUACUUCGGCGAAACAAGGCAUAGGAUGACAACAAGGUUAUGAGAUGCAGUUAAACAGAGGUUAUUUUCUUACAUCUUCUUAAAUUUCUUUCCAUUGUGCUUAUGGGGUUGUAAUACAGCAUCAGGACAGUCCUCCAAAAGUAAAUUGCCAGAGCUACGGCUACCAAUGAAGUUUCAUGGCGCUGUGAAGAGCAAAAUUAAUAGCUAAUCAAGAGUUAAUUUUUCAGAACCCAUCCAAGUAGUAGAUCAAUUUCAUUUCCUUUCAUUCCUAUAGAAUGCCUCUAUUGAGUCCCGUAUCUGCUCACUAUUGUUUGAUCUGUAGACAAAUUUGACUGGUAUAUUUUGUUAUACCUACAAGUUUGGACUUUCAAGACAAAGAUCAAAGAUACAUUCUCUUUCUAAUUGAAGGGGAAAGGAGCACGAAGUUGGGCUUCAUUGGAAGAGUUUACCUUGAAAUGUGAUCCUACAUUUACUCUCCAGCAGUGGUCGCUGGCUAAGUAAGGUUUCAAAAAGCUAAUAGUUUCACCAAGAAAAGGCCAAACCCUGUUGUCUAGUGGAAGAUUUAGGGAACUUCUGUUUUAUUCCUAAUUGAUUAAGAAUAAGUGUAACCAAGAUUGGGAAAAUAAGAAAAGUAAAAAGACAGUCAGACAUGGAGACCGGCUGAUGGCUUCAUUGGCUCGAUGUAUCCUAUAUCUGUCUUUCGUCCUCUGUGACACUCGAUACAC